rnacentral:lncRNA from 1 species
AUGAAUGCAUGACCUUGUUAUUGUAUAUUGAUGUCUCUCCUGAACAGAACAAUAUUAGUUUACCUCAUAAGAGAAUAUGUUCUUCAAAAUUGAGUAAAACUUAUCUGUGCACUUUUGUCUAAGUCAUAUUAAUCUGGAUAGGAUUUCAAGUUGGUCAAGGAUGGACCUUAAGGUUCAAUGAAAGUAGAGGCACUACCAUCUUGUGGAUCCUAUUUGGAAUGAAGUUUGACUAAAAGAUGUUUCCUUUUAAAAAGAAAUAAAACUAGUGAUAAGUUAGAAUGAAUUCUUUCUGAUUUGUA